rnacentral:lncRNA from 11 species
GAGUAGACUGCAGUCCAGGCCCAUUCCAGCUGGGUGUGACUCAGCAACCUCCAAGGAGGGAGCAAGAGCUGAGUUCACAAGGCCUGGGUACCAAAUUCCUCAUCCAAUUUAAUCAUGGAGAGGAAUCCUACCCUUUGAUUUCAC